UAGUCCACGCCGUAAACGAUGGACACUUGGUGUUGGAGGUAUUGACCCCUUCAGUGCCGUAGCUAACGCGUUAAGUGUCCCGCCUGGGGAGUACGGUCGCAAGAUUAAAACUCAAAGAAAUUGACGGGGGCCCGCACAAGCGGUGGAGCAUGUGGUUUAAUUCGAUGCAACGCGAAUAACCUUACCUGGAUUUGACAUAUACAGGAAAUUAGCAGAGAUGUUGAUGCCUUCGGGCCUGUAAACAGGUGCUGCAUGGCUGUCGUCAGCUCGUGUCGUGAGAUGUUGGGUUAAGUCCCGNAACGAGCGCAACCCUUGUCUUUAGUUGCCAGCAUUUAGUUGGGCACUCUAGAGAGACUGCCGACGUUAAGUCGGAGGAAGGUGGGGAUGACGUCAAGUCCUC
rnacentral:rRNA from 1 species